rnacentral:rRNA from 1 species
GAUGAACGCUAGCGGCAGGCUUAACACAUGCAAGUCGAGGGGCAGCAUUACUGCUUGCAGUAGAUGGCGACCGGCGCACGGGUGCGUAACGCGUAUACAACUUACCCUUUACAGGGGGAUAGCCCGAGGAAACUCGGAUUAAUACCCCAUAACAUUAUGAUAUCGCAUGGUAUUAUAAUUAAAACUUCGGUGGUAAAGGAUGGGUAUGCGUAAGAUUAGAUAGUUGGUGAGGUAACGGCUCACCAAGUCUACGAUCUUUAGGGGGCCUGAGAGGGUGAACCCCCACACUGGUACUGAGACACGGACCAG